rnacentral:rRNA from 1 species
GAUCACAAGGUGCUGCAUGGUUGUCGUCAGCUCGUGCCGUGAGGUGUCAGGUUAAGUCCUAUAACGAGCGCAACCCCUACCGUUAGUUGCCAGCAUGUCAUGAUGGGGACUCUAACGGGACUGCCGGUGCAAACCGUGAGGAAGGUGGGGAUGACGUCAAAUCAUCACGGCCCUUACGUCCUGGGCCACACACGUGCUACAAUGGCCGGUACAGAGAGCAGCCA